AGCGGCAGACGGGUGAGUAACACGUAGGUGAUCUACCCCAGAGACGGGGAUAACGGGUGGAAACAUCCGCUAAUACCGGAUAGGCUUGUUCGGUCAAAGGGACAAGGAAAGGCUCCGGCGCUCUGGGAGGAGCCUGCGGCCCAUCAGCUAGUUGGCGGGGUAACGGCCCACCAAGGCAAAGACGGGUAGGGGGUGUGAGAGCAUGGCCCCCCACAAUGGGACUGGAACACGGCCCAUACUCCUACGGGAGGCAGCAGCAGGGAAUAUUGCACAAUGGACGGAAGUCUGAUGCAGCGACGCCGCGUGGAUGAAGAAGGCCCUCGGGUUGUAAAAUCCUUUACAGGGGGAAGAGGAAGGACGGUACCCCUGGAACAAGUGUCGGCUAACUACGUGCCAGCAGCCGCGGUAAGACGUAGGACACAAGCGUUAUCCGGAUUUACUGGGCGUAAAGCGUCUGCAGGCGGACAGGUAAGUUGGGCGUGAAAGCUCCGGAGCCAACCCGGAGAGGUCGUUCAAUACUGCGUGUCUAGAGGGUGUCAGAGGGGAGUGGAAUUUCCGGAGUAGCGGUAAAAUGCGCAGAGAUCGGAAAGAACACCAAUGGCGAAGGCAGUUCCCUGGGGCAAACCUGACGCUAAGAGACGAAAGCUAGGGGAGCGAACAGGAUUGGAGACCCUGGGUAGUCUAGCCCUUAACGAUGGAUGCUGGAUGUGGGGCCAUAGCGCUCCGUGUAGAAGCGAACGCGUUAAGCUAUCCCGCGUGGGGAAUACGCCCGACAGAGGUUAAGACUCACACGAUUUGACGAGACCGCGCACGAGCCGCAGAGCGUGUGGUAAAACGAGACGAUACACGAAGCACCACACCGGGGUGAGAUAUAGAGGUGAUAGAAACGCGAAAGCAGAGAGACCUUGCGGAGAGUAUACACAGGCCGGACAUCGCUCUCCUCGAGCUCGCCCUGUGAGGUCUCGGGUUAAGACUCCUGUCAGCGAGCGAAACCCUGCCCCUCGGUUAAACGGGUGAAGAGGGAACGACGGCCGUAUAACCCGAAGAAAGUGGGGAAGAAAUCAAAGCAACAAGGCCUUUAAUAUCUAGGACUACACACACGCUACAAUGGCCAGUACAAAGGGCAGCGAAGCCGCGAGGUGGAGCGAAUCCCAGCAA
rnacentral:rRNA from 1 species